UCAUUGUUGCUGGGCAGAUUAAGCACUCCACAUCAAGAAGCUUCUGGAAUUGGCUGUGGUUAAUUUUGGGUCUGCUCCAAUAGGUUCCCUAUUGCUGGGGUCAGACUCCAUGAGGGCAAGCGGUCAGGGCAGCUGCUUUGCAGAAGGCCACGUGCCCUGUGUGAGUUGAGAGAAGCUGAGCCCAGGAGCAGGAAGCAGGCUGUUGUCCCUAACUCUGAAGCAUUUUGCAGCCGGUCAGUGAUAUUGUUACCCUCCAACAGGGAAGCCUGGACAAUGGGUUUUCUUUAAAUCUAUACACUUGUGACUUAACUGAGUGGUUGGUUAAUCAGUUAGCUGACCGGCUAGCAGUGAUUUCAGCAGAGGAAGAGUCUGCCUGGAUUCCAACUGAAGAUUCCUACAAGCAAAUGGAGGGAAGAUGUUUUAGAGUCAGCAGACUGUAUAGAUUUGGUGAUCAAAGACUCUGAGACUUAGGCACUGGAGAUGGGCAGUGAAUGAACUCUAGCCUGCCCAAAGGUUACAUCAGCACAGCACUGCCAUAUCUGGACAGAAGGAUAACCCCAAGCAUAAGAAGAUUAAAGUUAUUCCACCCUCUCUGGAGGCAGAGCAGCUGUGAUCUUGAAGAGAGAGCAUGGAACAAAAUACCUCUUCUGCCACAGUUGCCUCCAUACUAUAAUAAGGAUACAGUGCAGCAACCUAGCUGAUGAACAAUUAUGCAGU